ensembl:misc_RNA Metazoa_SRP Metazoan signal recognition particle RNA
GUCUGGUGCUGUGGCACAUCCUGUAGUCUCAGCUACACUACAGGCUGGGGCAGGAGAAUUUCUUGAGGUCAAGAGUUCUGGCCUGGAGUAUGCUAUGUCAAUUAGGUGUCCACCCUGAGUUCCACAGCAGUAUGGUGAUCUCCCAGGAGUGGGGGACAACCAGGUUGCCUCAGGAGGGGUGAACUGGCAAAGGCAAGAAAUGGAGAAGGUUAAAACUCCCGUGCUGAUCAAUAGUGGGACUGUACUGUGAAUAGCCACUGCACUCCCUCUUGGGCAAUGUAGCAAGACCUCAUUUUU